rnacentral:rRNA from 1 species
GUCUACGGCUAUGCCACCCUGAACAAGCCCCAUCCCGUCUGAUGUCGGAAGCUAAGCAGGGUCAGGCCUGGUUAGUACUUGGAUGGGAGACCACCUAGGAAGACCAGGUGCUGUAGGCA